AUCCAAACGUCUUCAUCGUGCUCUAGAAGCUAUGUCUGCAAAUGCUGCUGAAGAAGGUCAGGCAAGUGCUGAUAUAUCAACCUUGAAAACAUUAAUAAAUGGCAGUUCCACCUCUUCAAUGGAGAACUCCUCUGACAAGUUUGUUGAUCGAAAAGAAAGUGAUGGUUCUGGGGAGCCAAAUGUAGAGUCUCCUGGCUGUAGGGCCUCUGCA
rnacentral:misc_RNA from 1 species